CCACCGCCUCAACUGGCAGCAUAUAUAAAUAAACGGGCUCCGCAGAAGCCGCGCUCAGAUUGCGUUGGCUUGCCUUUAGCCAAUUAGUUAGAGCUUAAAUAAGAGCGCGCGCUUGGCGCGCGUACUUCCCCACGCAGCGCUCCUGAUGCAAGUAUAAUUGAGGUCGGCUCCUGCCCUGCAGCCGCAGGCUCAACUGCACGGCCUGGCGCGUCUUCACAAAAGGAAAGCCCCCACGAGGACUGCAACAACCGCAUUUCAUCCUUCUCUUUAAUAAGGCGGCUCCUGCCUCCACCGCAUAUUCCGGCGCUCUCUCAGCUACUUCAGUUGGUCUUCGCAUUAAUUAAAAGCAGGCUACGACGACGGUUCCUGGGAUCGAUGAUCUGUACCCUUGUGCAUUGCCGAUUCAUACUGAAAGCACAUCUUACACUUUCUGCGCAUGCGAAGCAGGCUAAUGGCCAUGUAUCCAGAACAAAGCAGAGUAACACAGUGACAAACGAUAAUUACGAAGCCUAGGUAAUAAAUAAAAGCGCCAGGCAAUUCA